rnacentral:rRNA from 1 species
AUUGAACGCUGGCGGCAGGCCUAACACAUGCAAGUCGAGCGGAUGAGUGGAGCUUGCUCCAUGAUUCAGCGGCGGACGGGUGAGUAAUGCCUAGGAAUCUGCCUGGUAGUGGGGGACAACGUUUCGAAAGGAACGCUAAUACCGCAUACGUCCUACGGGAGAAAGUGGGGAUCUUCGGACCUCACGCUAUCAGAUGAGCCUAGGUCGGAUUAGCUAGUAGGUGGGGUAAUGGCCCACCUAGGCGACGAUCCGUAACUGGUCUGAGAGGAUGAUCAGUCACACUGGAACUGAGACACGGUCCAGACUCCUACGGGAGGCAGCAGUGGGGAAUAUUGGACAAUGGGCGAAAGCCUGAUCCAGCCAUGCCGAGUGUGUGAAGAAGGUCUUCGGAUUGUAAAGCACUUUAAGUUGGGAGGAAGGGCAGUAAGUUAAUACCUUGCUGUUUUGACGUUACCAACAGAAUAAGCACCGGCUAACUUCGUGCCAGCAGCCGCAGUAACAC